GUGUGCGGAUUUGCUUCUGCCAA
rnacentral:miRNA from 1 species